rnacentral:rRNA from 1 species
AACCAGCACCUCAAGUGGUCAGGAGGAUUAUUGGGCCUAAAGCAUCCGUAGCCGGCUCUGUAAGUUUUCGGUUAAAUCCAUGUGCUCAACGCGUAGGCUGUCGGAAAUACUGCAAAACUAGGGAAUGGGAGAGGUAGACGGUACUCGGUAGGAAGGGGUAAAAUCCUUUGAUCUAUUGAUGACCACCUGUGGCGAAGGCGGUCUACCAGAACAUGUUCGACGGUGAGGGAUGAAAGCUGGGGGAGCAAACCGG